UACGAAGGGUGCAAGCGUUAAUCGGAAUUACUGGGCGUAAAGGGUGCGUAGGCGGCUCGUUAAGUCUGUCGUGAAAUCCCCGGGCUCAACCUGGGAAUGGCGAUGGAUACUGGCGAGCUAGAGUGUGUCAGAGGAUGGUGGAAUUCCCGGUGUAGCAGUGAAAUGCGUAGAGAUCGGGAGGAACACCAGUGGCGAAGGCGGCCUUCUGGACCAAUACUGACGCUCAUGCACGAAAGCGUGGGGAGCAAACAGG
rnacentral:rRNA from 1 species